AUGGGGUUGGGGCUCAGCGGUAGAGCGCUCGCCUAUCAUGUGCGAGGCCCUGGUUUCGAUCCUCAGCACCACAUA
rnacentral:tRNA from 1 species